rnacentral:rRNA from 1 species
CAGAGGGUGCAAGCGUUAAUCGGAUUUACUGGGCGUAAAGCGUGCGUAGGCGGUUUGCUAAGUCGGUUGUGGAAAUCCCUGGGCUUAACCUGGGAACUGCAGUCGAUACUGGCGGACUAGAGUACGGUAGAGGGUGGCGGAACUCCGGGUGUAGCGGUGAAAUGCGUAGAUAUCCGGAAGAACACCGAUGGCGAAGGCAACCACCUGGGCCUGUACUGACGCUGAGGUACGAAAGCGUGGGGAGCAAACAGGAUUAGAUACCCUGGUAGUCCACGCUGUAAACGAUGAGAACUUGACGUCGGUUCGCCUAGCGAAUCGGUGUCGUAGCUAACGCGAUAAGUUCUCCGCCUGGGGAGUACGGCCGCAAGGUUG